GAUCUCGAAAAUAAAAGAUCUAAAUAAUUUUUUAAGUUUUUGUUUCAAUAAAAUUUAUAAAAAUUAUUUGGGAGUGAAAUACUAAUCGAUUUUAUUAAUAUCUAGUAACUUUAAAAAUAAAUUUAGUUUAGAAUAUGAAGGGUUUCUUUACUUUUAUAUAUUUUUAUAUUUUAGGGGAUGAGCUCUAGAAUAAAUUUAUAAGAAUAAAGUAAUAAAAUUUUUUAAUAAGCUUAGAAUUAGCAAUAAGAUAGUGUUAUAAAACAGAAAUAUAAGUUUAAAAUUUAAUUUUUCUUUUAAAAAGAUGAAGUUAUAUUAAAAAAUAAAAAUUUUUAAGAAAAAAUGAUAGCAUUAGUAGAUAAUAAUUUAAAAUUUUCUUUAGCAAAUUUUAAAUAAAUUAUAAUAAAAGAAUUCGGCAAAUUGAAUUUCCGAAUGUUUAACAAAAACAUUUCUUCUUAGAAUAAGAGGUAAGACCUGCUCACUGAAUAUUAAAGAGCCGCAGUAUUUUGACUGUGCUAAGGUAGCAUAAUCAUUAGUCUUUUAAUUGAGGACUGGUAUGAAUGGUUUAACGAGAAAUUGACUUUUUUUAUUAUAUAAAUUGAAUUUAACUUUUUAGUGAAAAGGCUAAAUUGUAUUAGAAAGACGAGAAGACCCUAUAGAGUUUUAUAUACAAAAUUUAUAAAUUAUAAUAGAUUUAUAAAAAUUUAUUUAUGUAGUGUAUUUAGUUGGGGCGACAUUAAGAUAUAAAAAACUCUUUAUUUUUUUAACUUUUAUAAAAGAAUUAAUUUGAUCCUUUAAAAAAGAUCAUAAGAAAAAAUUACCUUAGGGAUAACAGCGUAAUCUUUUUUGAGAGUUCUAAUCGACAAAAAGGUUUGCGACCU
rnacentral:rRNA from 1 species